AUUGAACGCUGGCGGAAUGCUUUACACAUGCAAGUCGAACGGCAGCACGGGGGCAACCCUGGUGGCGAGUGGCGAACGGGUGAGUGAUGUAUCGGAACGUGCCCAGUCGUGGGGGAUAACGUAGUGAAAAUUACGCUAAUACCGCAUACGAUCUACGGAUGAAAGCGGGGGAUCGCAAGACCUCGCGCGAUUGGAGCGGCCGAUAUCAGAUUAGGUAGUUGGUGGGGUAAAGGCUCACCAAGCCAACGAUCUGUAGCUGGUCUGAGAGGACGACCAGCCACACUGGAACUGAGACACGGUCCAGACUCCUACGGGAGGCAGCAGUGGGGAAUUUUGGACAAUGGGCGAAAGCCUGGUCCAGCCAUUCCGCGUGCAGGAUGAGGGCCUUCGGGUUGUAAACUGCUUUUGUACGGAACGAAACGGUGAGCUCUAAUACAGUUUGCUAAUGACGGUACCGUAAGAAUAAGCACCGGCUAACUACGUGCCAGCCGCCGCCGUAA
rnacentral:rRNA from 1 species